ACCAUCCCAAUGCUAGUCAGAGGAAACGGAUGUCUCCAUGUCUACUACUGGAUGUCCCACGCCUUUGACAUCUCAUCCUUCAGUCCCUUUGCUGUAAAGGCAACUUGAACAAGCUUCAGCCCUUUCUCAGACUUCCAGGGCAGGACUUGAAUGGAUUUGACACUGGAAUUGUUCCUGAUGCAGCCUUGUUCAGUUCUUGCUGCUGCCAUGCUGGAUUCCAAAGAUCCACUCUUUCCUCGACUGGUCUCGCAGGGGAAGCAGAGACUUUCAAGGAACAAGGAAAUGCAUACUAUGCCAAGAAAGAUUACAAUGAAGCUUAUAAUUAUUAUACAAAAGCCAUAGAUAUGUGUCCUAAAAAUGCUAGCUAUUAUGGUAAUCGAGCAGCCACCUUGAUGAUGCUUGGAAGGUUCCGGGAAGCUCUUGGAGAUGCACAACAGUCAGUGAGGUUGGAUGACAGUUUUGUCCGGGGACAUCUACGAGAGGGCAAGUGCCACCUCUCUCUGGGGAAUGCCAUGGCAGCAUGUCGCAGCUUCCAGAGAGCCCUAGAACUGGAUCAUAAAAAUGCU
rnacentral:lncRNA from 1 species